UUUUUACACCCUAUAAUAAAGUUUUUUUGGAAUGUUUCAUCUGCGUGUAACAGCGCGAAUUAAAUACAACUUUCAGCAACGGAUCUCUUGGCUCUCGCAUCGAUGAAGAACGCAGCGAAAUGCGAUAAGUAAUGUGAAUUGCAGAAUUCAGUGAAUCAUCGAAUCUUUGAACGCACCUUGCGCUCCUUGGUAUUCCGAGGAGCAUGCCUGUUUGAGUGUCAUGAAAUUAUCAACUGCUUUGGCUUUUGUUUCAAAGUGAAGUUGGAUUUGGAGUGUUUGCCGGCGUGUUCGGCUCCUCUCAAAAGCAUCGAACCUUCUCUUGGGGCAGAAAGUAUCUUUGAUGUGAUAAUCAUCUACGUCGCAGAGAAAGCUCCGAGUGGAAGUGUGCUUGUGUGGAAGGGAAAGUUGUUAUGACCUCCCUCUUCCCUCAUUUGACAAGUUCGACCUCAAAUCAGGCAGGACUACCCGCUGAACUUAAGCAUAUCAAUAAGCGGAGGAAAAGAAACUAACAAGGAUUCCCCUAGUAACUGCGAGUGAAGCGGGAAAAGCUCAAAUUUGAAAUCUGGCGUGCCUCCG
rnacentral:rRNA from 1 species